rnacentral:rRNA from 1 species
ACACAUGCAGUCGAACGAUGAACCUCACUUGUGGGGGGAUUAGUGGCGAACGGGUGAGUAACACGUGAGUAACCUGCCCUUGACUCUGGGAUAAGCCUGGGAAACCGGGUCUAAUACUGGAUACGACCUUCUGGCGCAUGCCAUGUUGGUGGAAAGCUUUUGUGGUUUUGGAUGGACUCGCGGCCUAUCANCUUGUUGGUGGGGUAAUGGCCUACCAAGGCGACNACNGGUAGCCGGCCUGAGAGGGUGACCGGCCACACUGGGACUGAGACACGGCCCANACUCCUACGGGAGGCAGCAGUGGGGAAUAUUGCACAAUGGGCGCAAGCCUGAUGCAGCGACGCCGCGUGAGGGAUGAAGGCCUUCGGGUUGUAAACCUCUUUCAGUAGGGAAGAAGCCGGUCUUUUGGGUUGGUGACGGUACCUGCAGAAGAAGCGCCGGCUAACUACGUGCCAGCAGCCGCGGUAAUACGUAGGGCGCAAGCGUUAUCCGGAAUUAUUGGGCGUAAAGAGCUCGUAGGCGGUUUGUCGCGUCUGCCGUGAAAGUCCGGGGCUUAACUCCGGAUCUGCGGUGGGUACGGGCAGACUAGAGUGCAGUAGGGGAGACUGGAAUUCCUGGUGUAGCGGUGAAAUGCGCAGAUAUCAGGAGGAACACCGAUGGCGAAGGCAGGUCUCUGGGCUGUAACUGACGCUGAGGAGCGAAAGCAUGGGGAGCGAACAGGAUUAGAUACCCUGGUAGUCCAUGCCGUAAACGUUGGGCACUAGGUGUGGGGGACAUUCCACGUUUUCCGCGCCGUA